rnacentral:rRNA from 1 species
CCUACGGGAGGCAGCAGUGGGGAAUAUUGGACAAUGGGGGAAACCCUGAUCCAGCAAUGCCGCGUGAGUGAUGAAGGCCUUAGGGUCGUAAAGCUCUUUUACCAGGGAUGAUAAUGACAGUACCUGGAGAAUAAGCUCCGGCUAACUCCGUGCCAGCAGCCGCGGUAAUACGGAGGGAGCUAGCGUUGUUCGGAAUUACUGGGCGUAAAGCGUGCGUAGGCGGUUAUUCAAGUCAGAGGUGAAAGCCCGGGGCUCAACCCCGGAACGGCCUUUGAAACUAGAUAACUAGAAUCUUGGAGAGGUCAGUGGAAUUCCGAGUGUAGAGGUGAAAUUCGUAGAUAUUCGGAAGAACACCAGUGGCGAAGGCGACUGACUGGACAAGUAUUGACGCUGAGGUACGAAAGCGUGGGGAGCAAACAGGAUUAGAUACCCUGGUAGUCCACGCCGUAAACGAUGAUAACUAGCUGUCCGGACACUUGGUGUUUGGGUGGCGCAGCUAACGCAUUAAGUUAUCCGCCUGGGGAUACGGUCGCAAGNUUAAAACUCAAAAUGAAUUGACGGCUGAGANGCGAGACGACACGAGGAGAGG